rnacentral:rRNA from 1 species
AUACGUAGGGUGCGAGCGUUGUCCGGAAUUACUGGGCGUAAAGAGCUCGUAGGUGGUUUGUCGCGUCGUGUGUGAAAUUCCGGGGCUUAACUUCGGGGUUGCAUACGAUACGGGCAUAACUUGAGUGCUGUAGGGGAGACUGGAAUUCCUGGUGUAGCGGUGAAAUGCGCAGAUAUCAGGAGGAACACCGAUGGCGAAGGCAGGUCUCUGGGCAGUAACUGACGCUGAGGAGCGAAAGCAUGGGGAGCGAACAGGAUUAGAUACCCUGGUAGUCCAUGCCGUAAACGGUGGGCGCUAGGUGUGAGGCCCUUCCACGGGUUUCGUGCCGUAGCUAACGCAUUAAGCGCCCCGCCUGGGGAGUACGGCCGCAAGGCUAAA